GCUAGGAUGAAAUUUGAAAAAAAUAGGCAGGACAGGAGUUUUGAGUAAAAAAAAAGGCAGGAUGAGACACUUUGCAAAAAAAAAAAGGCAGGAUGACAAUUUAGUUAAAAAAAACUUAGGAUAAACUAAUAAAAAAAGGCAGGACCGAAUAGAGUGAAAAGUAAAAAGGCAGGACAGAGAUUACAACUAAAAAAAAAAUGCAGGACAAAAUUUUUCAUCCUAGCCCCCC
rnacentral:lncRNA from 1 species